GUUCCACUGUGUCCUUCGGCUGCGACUCGGGCUACCGCCUCAGCCACGAAGAGCCACUGGUCUGUGAAAAGAACCACUGGUGGAGCCAUCCACUACCCACCUGUGACGCACUCUGCGGGGGUGAUGUUCGAGGACCUGGAGGCACCAUCCUGUCCCCGGGAUACCCUGAGGUCUACCCCAGCUCCCUUAACUGCACCUGGACUGUGGAGGUCAGCCAUGGCAAAGGCGUUCAGUUCACCUUUUACACCUUCCACCUGGAGGAUCAUCAUGACUACCUGCUCAUCACUGAGAAUGGGAGUUUUGUUCAGCCGCUCGCCCGCCUCACAGGCGCAGAACUGCCCUCGCCCAUCAACGCGGGGCUCUAUGGCAACUUCAAGGCCCAGCUCCGCUUCAUAUCUGAUUUCUCCAUCUCCUACGAAGGUUUCAACAUCACAUUUUCAGGUGAGAUAUCCUGAGAAUAGAGCCUCCGAAGGGCACAGGGACGGUAGU
rnacentral:lncRNA from 1 species